UCGUAACAAGGUUUCCGUAGGUGAACCUGCGGAAGGAUCAUUACCGAGUGAGGGCCCUCUGGGUCCAACCUCCCACCCGUGUCUAUCGUACCUUGUUGCUUCGGCGGGCCCGCCGUUUCGACGGCCGCCGGGGAGGCCUCGCGCCCCCGGGCCCGCGCCCGCCGAAGACCCCAACAUGAACUCUGUUCUGAAAGUAUGCAGUCUGAGUUGAUUAUCAUAAUCAGUUAAAACUUUCAACAACGGAUCUCUUGGUUCCGGCAUCGAUGAAGAACGCAGCGAAAUGCGAUAAGUAAUGUGAAUUGCAGAAUUCAGUGAAUCAUCGAGUCUUUGAACGCACAUUGCGCCCCCUGGUAUUCCGGGGGGCAUGCCUGUCCGAGCGUCAUUGCUGCCCUCAAGCACGGCUUGUGUGUUGGGCCCCCGUCCCCGGUUUCCCCCGGGGACGGGCCCGAAAGGCAGCGGCGGCACCGCGUCCGGUCCUCGAGCGUAUGGGGCUUUGUCACCCGCUCUGUAGGCCCGGCCGGCGCCAGCCGACACCCAACUUUAUUUCUAAGGUUGACCUCGGAUCAGGUAGGGAUACCCGCUGAACCUAAGCAUAUCA
rnacentral:misc_RNA from 1 species